AAACUUCAAAAAUAGCGUUAAAGCUUAUUUUUUAGUUACAUCACAAAAAAUUUUAGGAGAAUAAUUUUAUGUUAUAAUAUUUAUAUGAAAGAAUUCCAUUAGUUUGGAAGUUAUAAUGUUGAAAUUAGUAGGGUUAUAAAAUUUACCUUUUGUGCAUUAAUCAAUCCUAACGUUGGAUGGGACAAAUAUUUUUUAUCGAGAAAUAAAUUUGAAUUGUUGUCUACUAACACAAGUGGAAAUUUUUUAUAAAAAUAAGGGAAAGGAACUCGGCAAACAUAGAUUU
rnacentral:rRNA from 1 species